rnacentral:rRNA from 1 species
AUUGAACGCUGGCGGCAGGCCUAACACAUGCAAGUCGAGCGAGCGGCGGACGGGUGAGUAAUGUCUGGGAAACUGCCUGAUGGCGGGGGAUAACUCCUGGAAACGGUAGCUAAUACCGCAUACCACCAGAGGUGCCCAGAUGGGAUUAGCUAGUAGGUGGGGUAACGGCUCACCUGGGAGACGACCCCUAGCUGGUCUGAGAGGAUGACCAGCCACACUGGAACUGAGACACGGUCCAGACUCCUACGGGAGGCAGCAGUGGGGAAGAUUGCACAAUGGGCGCAAGCCUGAUGCAGCCAUGCCGCGUGUAGGAAGAAGGCCUUCGGGUUGUAAAGCACUUUCAGCGGGGAGGCGUUACCCGCAGAAGAAGCACCGGCUAACUCCGUGCCAGCAGCCGCGGUAAUAC